GAGGUUGGCUUCGGCCAGCCUAGUGGCGGACGGGUGAGUAAUGCGUGGGAAUCUGCCUCGUAGUGGGGGAUAACGUAGGGAAACUUACGCUAAUACCGCAUACGCUCUACGGAGGAAAGGGGGGGAUCUUCGGACCUCUCGCUAUGAGAUGAGCCCACGUCUGAUUAGCUAGUUGGUGGGGUAAAGGCCUACCAAGGCGACGAUCAGUAGCCGGCCUGAGAGGGUGGACGGCCACACUGGGACUGAGACACGGCCCAGACUCCUACGGGAGGCAGCAGUGGGGAAUAUUGGACAAUGGGCGGAAGCCUGAUCCAGCAAUGCCGCGUGUGUGAAGAAGGCCUGCGGGUUGUAAAGCACUUUAAGUGGGGAAGAACGGGAUUGCGCUAAUACCAUGAUCCUUUGACGUUACCCACAGAAUAAGCACCGGCUAACUCUGUGCCAGCGGCCGCGGUAAUACGGAGGGUGCGAGCGUUAAUCGGAAUUACUGGGCGUAAAGCGCAUGUAGGCGG
rnacentral:rRNA from 1 species